UGCUACUGGUGGGGGAAAGGCCACACUUUCUCCGUCUCCUUUUCAUGAGAGGAUGGCAUGUUUAAUUGGGGAACCCCUGUUAAGUGGCGUGGUGACUGAAAAGGAGGGCGAUACAGACUUGGCUGAUGAACCCAUCACUGGUGAACCAGAGAGGACUGUGGGAGUGGACAGCAGUCAUUCAGCUGAAGACUGCCAACCCGGCCCCAACGGUGUCUCCGGUGCCCCGGUUGCCUCCAGCGGUGUCUCCGGUGCCCCGGAUGCCUCCAGCGGUGCACCACGUGCUUUAAGCGGAGGUCGUGUUCUGACUGAGGCUGUUUUACAAACACAAAUAAACACAAUUACAGCAAUUGACAAUUUAACAAAUGAGCUUAAAGAGAUUAAGGGGAUACUGUCUGAAAUGUCAAGUACAUUAAAAGAACUUGUUAAAAAAUA